GAGUGGUGUUUGGUUUGUUACGUGUGGUUGGCUGCGGCGUUUGCAACAACUUCCAUGCUUUCAGACCUCUUCAGUUGUGCGGCAAGGCUUGUAUCGCCUUGAGCGUAUUGUGGGUUUUCUGUGUUGACUACCUAAUCAAUGGUAUCGGUUGGAUUGAUCAAUGUUUCAUUUCGUCUACCGUCGCAUUUGCGGCGUGAGAUGAACCUUGAUGCGGUCUCUUUGAUCCACCUCGUCGAAGCCAAUGCUUUGACGUUGUGGCACAUUGAGCAUUGCUUGGUCUCUUGUAUACGGAACAUAUAGUGGGCAUGGAUCUAACGAUUCUCGUUUGCCCUCAUAUUAGUGUAACGCUUCUCUUACACGACUUGCUCCACGUUUUAGCUCGUAC
rnacentral:misc_RNA from 1 species